AUCGUUUCUUGGCCUUUUGGUUAAGAUCAAAUGUAGUAUCUGUUCUUAUCAGUUUAAUAUCUGAUAUAUCCUUUAUGUGAGGACAAUGUAUAUUAAAUGGAUUUUUGAAAUCAGGAGAUAGAAUAGGAGCUUGCUUCAUCCACUACAUGCAUCAACUUGGAAUUACAGUACUUCCAGGAAUGGCACACCAAAA
rnacentral:snRNA from 1 species